GUAACCAAUUUAAUCUCGUUAUGAGAAAAGGAUAAAUACAGACUUAUGAUCUUGUUAAUUAUUUUGAACGUUUCUUUCGGCCAUAAUGCGUAGGAGUUUGAUUGAAAAUGAAAUGAGGUUUCUAUUAAGAAUUCCAAGGUUUCCUUUUAGCAGAUAAGGACUCCUUUUUUGUAACUAUAAGUACCCCCUUUGACAACGUACGUGCUUGCUAGAUAGCCACAGCCGAUCAUAGUAGAAACUUUGAAGGCAAAAAUGACCAUCCUCGUUGAGAAGCCUGAGCUAAUUGGGACAGAGGUGGAGGGGAAGAAGCAUUUGUCUGAAACCAAGGAGAUGGUGCCCCAAGCAGUAUCAAACAAGGAAGAUAACGAAAAAGAAAAUGGAUUCUUUGCACCAGAUGUCAAUUCAUUCGGCAACUCAUUCAGGUGAAGAGGAUGAGAGAAGAGUAUGGAAAGCUGGACAGAGUGGAAAUGGGGAUAUGGGAAUGUUGUGAGCUCCUCAACGAGGUGGUGGACGACAGUGAUCCCGACUUG